rnacentral:rRNA from 1 species
CCUACGGGGGGCAGCAGUGAGGAAUAUUGGUCAAUGGACGAGAGUCUGAACCAGCCAAGUAGCGUGAAGGAUGACUGCCCUAUGGGUUGUAAACUUCUUUUAUAUGGGAAUAAAAUGUUCCACGUGUGGGAUUUUGUAUGUACCAUAUGAAUAAGGAUCGGCUAACUCCGUGCCAGCAGCCGCGGUAAUACGGAGGAUCCGAGCGUUAUCCGGCUUUAUUGGGUUUAAAGGGAGCGUAGGUGGAUUGUUAAGUCAGUUGUGAAAGUUUGCGGCUCAACCGUAAAAUUGCAGUUGAAACUGGCAGUCUUGAGUACAGUAGAGGUGGGCGGAAUUCGUGGUGUAGCGGUGAAAUGCUUAGAUAUCACGAAGAACUCCGAUUGCGAAGGCAGUUCACUGGACUGCAACUGACACUGAGGCUCGAAAGUGUGGGUAUCAAACAGGAUUAGAUACCCGGGUAGUC